rnacentral:rRNA from 1 species
UACGUAGGGGGCGAGCGUUGUCCGGAUUUAUUGGGUGUAAAGGGUGCGUAGACGGAUAAUUAAGUUGGUUGUGAAAGCCCCAGGCUCAACUUGGGAAGUGCAACCAAAACUGAUAAUCUUGAGUGUAGGAGAGGGAAGUGGAAUUCCUAGUGUAGCGGUGAAAUGCGUAGAGAUUAGGAGGAACACCAGUGGCGAAGGCGACUUCCUGGACUAUAACUGACGUUGAGGCACGAAAGUGUGGGGAGCAAAC